UAUACUGGACCCGUCUUAUCAAGAUACUUACGAGAAUAUUUCUCGUAUCUUUCUCGUAAGUCUCUCGCAACGUUCUCGUAAGUCUGACAGGUGUCUUAUGAAAAUGAUCGUAGCUACGAUAUCGUAAGUUUCUACAUAAAAUCCUCGUAAAGUUACGAGAGGGUCAGGGGUCUCGUAAAUAUUUACGAUAUCGUAAAUAAAAUGGCGGCAUCCGUGUGAGCAACCACGACGAAACUUUCUGUCGAAAAUACUGCAGAUUGUUCAGCAGUAAAACUUGAUUUUCCGUGUACAUGUUGCACAACAGUGGAUGAAAUACAUCAUCGAUCAUACAAAAGCACGCGCUUUGGGUCAGUGCGACACGAAGCGGAAGCGAGUGCGAAGGAAAUAUUGAGCACAUAAAUUCUGUUUAUCUUCGCUGUUUCCUGUGUUGACAGAUCAAUUGGAGGGACAUGCUGAAUGCCAGAAGAAAUUACAGACAACAAUACUGCUCAGUGCAGUAACCAGACCUGAAAAAAAAAACAUUGCUCAAGGCAAACUUUUGGGGCUUAUGCACAAACUGAGAUUUUUCAAGUCAACUGUCAAAGUCAUAAAGUCAGAUAGUGGACAAUGUUGAACAGAGUUGAAGUCCUGGAAUCUCGGUCAACUGCAGAUAGCAGCAUGGCGUAAAGCAGACGUCUUGUUUCCCAGUCCAAUUUUAGUCAGGUAUUCUUGGUGGUAUGUGACAAAAAAAGCCAUUGCGUUUUUUUUUCUUCCUCUUGAAUUCAUACAGUCAUAUAGAACCAUGAAAAUGUCAUUUA